UCAGUAGCUCAAUGGAUAGAGCGUUUGGCUUCGGACCAAAAGGUUAUGGGUUCAAGUCCUAUCUGGU
rnacentral:tRNA from 1 species